GAUGAACGCUGGCGGCGUGCCUAAUACAUGCAAGUCGAACGCUUUGUGGUUCAAUUGAUUUGAAGAGCUUGCUCAGAUAUGACGAUGGACAUUGCAAAGAGUGGCGAACGGGUGAGUAACACGUGGGAAACCUACCUCUUAGCAGGGGAUAACAUUUGGAAACAGAUGCUAAUACCGUAUAACAAUGACAACCGCAUGGUUGCUAUUUAAAAGAUGGUUCUGCUAUCACUAAGAGAUGGUCCCGCGGUGCAUUAGCUAGUUGGUAAGGUAAUGGCUUACCAAGGCGAUGAUGCAUAGCCGAGUUGAGAGACUGAUCGGCCACAAUGGGACUGAGACACGGCCCAUACUCCUACGGGAGGCAGCAGUAGGGAAUCUUCCACAAUGGGCGAAAGCCUGAUGGAGCAACGCCGCGUGUGUGAUGAAGGGUUUCGGCUCGUAAAACACUGUUGUAAGAGAAGAAUGACAUUGAGAGUAACUGUUCAAUGUGUGACGGUAUCUUACCAGAAAGGAACGGCUAAAUACGUGCCAGCAGCCGCGGUAAUACGUAUGUUCCAAGCGUUAUCCGGAUUUAUUGGGCGUAAAGCGAGCGCAGACGGUUAUUUAAGUCUGAAGUGAAAGCCCUCAGCUCAACUGAGGAAUUGCUUUGGAAACUGGAUGACUUGAGUGCAGUAGAGGAAAGUGGAACUCCAUGUGUAGCGGUGAAAUGCGUAGAUAUAUGGAAGAACACCAGUGGCGAAGGCGGCUUUCUGGACUGUAACUGACGUUGAGGCUCGAAAGUGUGGGUAGCAAACAGGAUUAGAUACCCUGGUAGUCCACACCGUAAACGAUGAGUGCUAGGUGUUUGAGGGUUUCCGCCCUUAAGUGCCGCAGCUAACGCAUUAAGCACUCCGCCUGGGGAGUACGACCGCAAGGUUGAAACUCAAAGGAAUUGACGGGGACCCGCACAAGCGGUGGAGCAUGUGGUUUAAUUCGAAGCAACGCGAAGAACCUUACCAGGUCUUGACAUCCCUUGACAACUCCAGAGAUGGAGCGUUCCCUUCAGGGACAAGGUGACAGGUGGUGCAUGGUUGUCGUCAGCUCGUGUCGUGAGAUGUUGGGUUAAGUCCCGCAACGAGCGCAACCCUUAUUACUAGUUGCCAGCAUUCAGUUGGGCACUCUAGUGAGACUGCCGGUGACAAACCGGAGGAAGGUGGGGAUGACGUCAAAUCAUCAUGCCCCUUAUGACCUGGGCUACACACGUGCUACAAUGGCGUAUACAACGAGUUGCCAACCCGCGAGGGUGAGCUAAUCUCUUAAAGUACGUCUCAGUUCGGAUUGUAGGCUGCAACUCGCCUACAUGAAGUCGGAAUCGCUAGUAAUCGCGGAUCAGCACGCCGCGGUGAAUACGUUCCCGGGUCUUGUACACACCGCCCGUCACACCAUGAGAGUUUGUAACACCCAAAGCCGGUGGGGUAACCUUCGGGAGCCAGCCGUCUAAGGUGGGACAGAUGAUUAGGGUG
rnacentral:rRNA from 1 species